rnacentral:tRNA from 1 species
GCCCCCGUAGCUCAAUUGGAUAGAGCAGCCCGGUCCUAACGGGCAGGUUGGCCGUUCGAGUCGGCCCGGGGGUA